UGCGUAGGUGGUCGUUUAAGUCUGUUGUGAAAGCCCUGGGCUCAACCUGGGAACUGCAGUGGAAACUGGACGACUAGAGUGUGGUAGAGGGUAGCGGAAUUCCUGGUGUAGCAGUGAAAUGCGUAGAGAUCAGGAGGAACAUCCAUGGCGAAGGCAGCUACCUGGACCAACACUGACACUGAGGCACGAAAGCGGUGGGGAGCAAACA
rnacentral:rRNA from 1 species